CAGAAAACGGAAACGAAGGGAGAACGAAGAGGUGUUUGAAAAGGGUUAAAGGAUCUCUGAAAAAAGAAAAACUGUGUUCAGAAUAAAUCACCCAAUCUUAGGUUUCUGUAUGUGGUUGUAGCACAAACUGUAGCACACUCACUCACCUCGACUUCAGAGCCAUCUCAAAAUGGAGACAGAAGAUGAAAUAAGUGUAUUAGUUUUGAAACACUGGGAGGGAUUUUAUUUACUGUAAAGCAAAUGAGAAAUUUGUUUUCCUAAAUUCAGAAUUUCAGUAUGUUGCUUCGCAGAAGUUGAGACUGCCUAUUUUCCCCUGAAACUGUAUUAAGUGAAAACUUGAUUUGUCGGUGUAGUAAAUAUUAUGAAGUCAGAUAUUUUACAAGGAAAGAAGAAGUUGUUUCUUCAGUGGAAAUCACUGAGGCCGCAUCCAAUUUUCAGCUUUAAAGAGUUCCUACAAUAUGAAGAAAAGAUCAGGUGGGGCUAAGUGGCCAAGGCCAUACAGUGAUCAUGUGGCAGAGUUGGGAUCCACACCCAGGCUGAUGCUGGAGGCCCUGUGAUCAACACAUCAUAUUGCUUCACAACUACGUUGAACAUCUGAACUCUGGCAGAAGAAAAGGGAUUUGAAAUCAAUCCACAGAACUGUGAAACCUUUCAACAGAUGAGAGAAAACACACAGUGAUCUCAUCCACUUGGUGCCACCAGCCUGAGACUUGGGAAGACAAGCCGGUCCAGCAUCCUGGGCUCUCCUAGUGCGUGUUUUACUGCUGUUUGGACAAAGGAUGAUCUAAUCCAAGUAUUAAACCACCAGUGCCUGAGCCAGGACCUCCUACCCAGGGCUUUUAUAGGUUUCUGUCUUCUGGCAUCAAGAAUAAUGCAGUUGGAGAACCUAAGAUGGUGGCUAGGUGAGACAGGGCAAAAAAAAACACCUCCAUGAAAAAUACUAGAUGAAAACCAGAAAGUGACCCAGAGCACCAGUUCCAGGAUAGCACCAGCCAGCCAAGGUCUACUAAAUCUACAGGGACCGUGCAUUUGGUGAAACCAGGAGUCUGCAUUCUGAAACGAAAAAGAGCAAGUUAGUACCCUGUAUGAAAACAUCAACCUCGUGGAGUUGAGACUCAUUCAGCCAUAUGAACACGUUAUAACGAACUGUAUCUGUGAGAUCAAACUUCAGAGCCCGGAAAUGGAAAACCUGGCCAUUGCCGUGAAGAGCAAGAAGAUGAAGCUGUCAUAGUUGACCCUUUGAAGUCACUGAAGGGAAUUAAAAUGGAGACGGGAAAACGUAGGGAUUAACUCCUCAUGGGGGGUUUCUUCUGAAUGUUUUCAGUUCCUGACCUUAAGUUUGCCUUCUAGGGGUCUGCAUGAGGGUAAUAAAGGGUGGUCUUCUGAUCUACAAAUGUUGGAGAAAAUUCUGGAGUAAGGACCUGAGCACCGGAGUUGGCUUCCCUUGAGUGGUGUGACUGGCAGGCAGACACGUGGAUUCUUCAGAUUGUCCAGUGACUAUCUGUUGAAACACACACAGGUACACACAGACCCACACAAAGGUAUGUGGACACACACACUGACAUAGCUUCUCAGGACAGUUCCAUGUAAACCCUAAGGGAAUAAGGGAGCAGUGUCCUUUAUGUUCUCAUCACUACCUCUCUCCCCAUGGAUUAGCACGUCACAUUAGGAUGAGCUGUGCUGGUGUCUUCUCCCUGAACGCCUUCUCCUUUCAAAGCCUGUGCUCUCUGGCUGGGAUCUGGAGCCUGGCUCCAUUCUGAGCCAGCAGUUUCUAUUUGCCCCUCUCCUCCUAGCUGUCAAAGACCUCGCUUCUGUUUAAAUGAUGACCUGUGAUCAUAGGGCAGGCUCGGGGCUCCCUGGGCAGGUGACAUCUGUUUCCCACCAAGGGAUCCUGGGACAAGAUUUUUCUCACCUCUAAACUCAGGGCUCAUUGCCCUCUCCUCUAAAUGCUCCCUGUCUCCUUUGGGAUAUGUGGGAAGCUACUUGUCUCUGACACAUCCUGAAUGGGGAAUUUCUGGUCGUAUCUGUGAUGCCUCCAAAAACCCAUCCUCUCUACAGUUGCAAUAAGUUCAGUGUAGAGAGAGCUGCAGAAAGAAAGUUUGAGCUGGAUCCUGUAGUCAGGUCCUCUUAAGUUUUUCUCAUCUUGAAAAGCCCUGAAUUGCUUUUGUGUGUGGUGUUGUGUGUGUGUGUUUUGUAAUGACAAAACAAAGGAACCUGGGGUGAGGGUGAACGUGCAGUGUCACUGUCAACCUCCCUCCAUGCCCCCUUCCCUUCUAGAAACCAAAGCAGUGACUCAGCAUGCUGACCCCUACACCCCAGUGUGACAGACAGAAGCCACCACCUUCUUAUGAGAGAAAAACAUAUAUAUUCGGGGAAUAAUAAACAUCUUGGUUUGGGAGAAGCCAAAACCAUAGAAGAUGGGUUAGCGUGAAAAAAAAAAAAAACAAAAAAAAAAACAACACAGGUUUUCCUCUACUUGGACUGCAUGC